rnacentral:rRNA from 1 species
AUACGUAGGGAGCAAGCGUUGUCCGGAAUCAUUGGGCGUAAAGCGCGCGUAGGUGGCCUCAUAAGUCCGCUGUGAAAGUCCAAGGCUCAACCUUGGAAAGCCGGUGGAUACUGUGAGGCUAGAGUACGGAAGAGGCGAGUGGAAUUCCUGGUGUAGCGGUGGAAUGCGCAGAUAUCAGGAGGAACACCAAUAGCGAAGGCAGCUCGCUGGGACGUUACUGACACUGAGGCGCGAAAGCGUGGGGAGCGAACA